rnacentral:rRNA from 1 species
AUUGAACGCUGGGGGCAUGCUUUACACAUGCAAGUCGAACGGUAACAGGCCGCAAGGUGCUGACGGGUGGCGAACGGGUGAGUGAUGCAUCGGAACGUGCCCAGUCGUGGGGGAUAACUGCUCGAAAGAGCAGCUACUCCCGCAUACGAUCUAUGGAAGAAAGAGGGGGACCGCAAGGCCUCGCGCGAUUGGCGCGGCAGAUGUCAGAUUAGGUAGUUGGUGGGGUAAAGGCUCACCAAGCCAACGAUCUGUAGCUGGUCUGAGAGGACGACCAGCCACACUGGGACUGAGACACGGCCCAGACUCCUACGGGAGGCAGCAGUGGGGAAUUUUGGACAAUGGGGGCAACCCUGAUCCAGCAAUGCCGCGUGCAGGAAGAAGGCCUUCGGGUUGUAAACUGCUUUUGUACGGAACGAAACGGUCUGGGUUAAUACCCUGGGCUAAUGACGGUACCGUAAGAAUAAGCACCGGCUAACUACGUGCCAGCCGCCGCGGUAAGAC